AUCAGCCAUGCCGCGUGUGUGAAGAAGGCCUUAGGGUUGUAAAGCACUUUCAGUGGGGAGGAAGGCUUCAGAUUAAUACUCUGGAGUACUUGACGUUACCCACAGAAGAAGCACCGGCUAAUUUCGUGCCAGCAGCCGCGGUAAUACGAAAGGUGCGAGCGUUAAUCGGAAUUACUGGGCGUAAAGCGCGCGUAGGCGGUUUGUUAAGUCUGAUGUGAAAGCCCCGGGCUCAACCUGGGAAUUGCAUCGGAUACUGGCAAGCUAGAAUGCGGUAGAGGGGGGUGGAAUUCCAGGUGUAGCGGUGAAAUGCGUAGAUAUCUGGAGGAACACCAGUGGCGGAGGCGGCCCCCUGGACUGACAUUGACGCUGAGGUGCGAAAGCGUGGGGAUCAAACAGGAUUAGAUACCCUGGUAGUCCACGCCGUAAACGAUGUCUACUAGCCGUCGGAGACCUUUGUGUUUUUGGUGGCGCAGCUAACGCAAUAAGUAGACCGCCUGGGGAGUACGGCCGCAAGGUUAAAACCCAAAUGAAUUGACGGGGGCCCGCACAAGCGGUGGAGCAUGUGGUUUAAUUCGACGCAACGCGAAGAACCUUACCUACUCUUGACAUCCAGAGAAUCCUGUAGAGAUACGGGAGUGCCUUCGGGAAUUCUGAGACAGGUGCUGCAUGGCUGUCGUCAGCUCGUGUCGUGAGAUGUUGGGUUAAGUCCCGUAACGAGCGCAACCCUUGUCCUUAGUUGCUAACGGGUUAUGCCGAGAACUCUAGGGAGACUGCCGGUGACAAACCGGANGAAGGUGGGGACGACGUCAAGUCAUCAUGGCCCUUACG
rnacentral:rRNA from 1 species